rnacentral:lncRNA from 1 species
CAGAUGCCACAGAAAUACACAUAAUAAUUUGGUCCCUUUCACAACUAUAUACACAACUGAUAUACUAUCAGUUUAAGCAAAAUCCUUUGUGCUAAACAUGCAAAUGUUUAACUUAAGAUAAUUCAUUAACAUUUUUUUUGAGGUUGCCUUAAUACUGUGUUGCAUGACAGCAUUUCAUUUACAAUAUAAAGUUGCUGCUGUUAUUUAUCGUAUUGUGAAUUUCUGAUGCACUAUGUCUUUCGUUGUGAGUCACUGAUUCUGUUUGUUUCUGUUUCAAAACAGAUGCAAUGAAUGAGCUUGUAAUCACACACGUCUUGUUAAAUUGAAUUUCUUGUUCUCACAAUCCCUCAAGUUUUGCUUCAUUUUUAAAAGUUACUGUAUUUUUGACACUUACUUGUUUUGCUUUAUGGGUUUGGGCUGCUGAAACACUUUUUUUUUAAAAUUUACAGCUGUUGAAGACAUUGUAUUUGCUCGUUUGAGGCCAAUUUUGAGGAUAUGGUCUUGUGAUUAAAAAAAGUUAUGACUAUAUUUCCUUGGUACAAUCCGAAAGUUCCAAAUGCACAUAGGGGUGUGUUUCCUCUGUGUGAGUCACUUAUCGCACAGAAAGGGUAAGGACAUUUGACAAAAUUUGCACAGGUACACACUUGGCAGCCAGUGGGGUGUAAAUGAUAAACCCUCAUAUGGUGAUUGGUGGACCAAGGACCAACAGGACAGAGUGGAAAAACUUAAAAUGCAUCUGCUGACAGCAGGAACACAGUCGAGGAAAGAUGGGUGGCAUGACACAACUUCUCCUUUUGCUGUGGGUUGGUAAGUCAUCAUUUAUCUUUUACAAAUCCACAGCUCACAGCUUCAUUCAAAAAUGUCGCAGGAUCCUGACUCAAAAUGGUGGAGACUUUCUCUUUCAGGUGUCACAGUGAGCUCAGCUGUAGAUCUUCAGAAGAGGGUCUUUGGAGGUGCCAACUGUAGAGAUGAUGAGCGCCUGUACCAUGUGAAACUCGUCGAUAUAAAUAACAACUUCUUCUGUGGUGGUUCUCUGGUCAGUGAACGCUGGGUGCUGACUGCAGCUCACUGCUGGGUGCCGUAAGAAUCUUCAACAUUAUCUGAGGAAAUACCCACAUGUAGUGCAUCUAUAACUUUAGUUUUUAAUCUGGUAAUCCUGGUAGCAGUCCUAAAUAUUAAUUCCUGUAAAUGAGAUCUCAGCCAGUACAAGCGAAUCAACGCUGGCUCUUCAUCAAUAGCAGGGGCACCAUAUUUAUAUAAUAGGAGCUUCAAAGUGCUUGGUUCAAAUCAUGUCAUACAAGCCCUAGUGCUUUCACUGUUACAUAAAAUCUGGUUUACAUUUGAGGUUCUUUCAGUAAAUAGUUAGGGUUGGGGAUAGUAAUAUGAUGGAAUGAUGUUUUUACAAAAUUGGAGAGAUUUUCUUCUUGCACCUCUCCUUAUUUUUAGGGGUAUGAGAGCAGUUUUGGGCUCCCAUCCAGCUCCAGGUCCAGGACAAACUGUGGCAAUAAUAUCACACUGGAUUUUUAAGAAACGGAUGUUUAUCAUUUUUAAAAAGAAACACGACAUCAUGCUGGUGCAGCUAGAGCACCCCAUAAAUGCAAAUCAACCUGUGCCACUUCCUGAUGAGCAAGAGUGCAACAAUAAACCCCGGGAUGUGAGUUUUCAACUUUUCUGUGAGAACUCCAGAAGAUGGACUCAAAUUUUAAUUUUAUUUUUUUCAAAUGAAGAAAAAUCUGAUUUUUUGUUUUUAUUGUAUUGCAGAGGUGACAUGGUUCAGAUUGCAGGAUAUGGAUCAGCACAGAUCGGUCCAAAUGGUGAGAAAGGUGGGAUGACUUAUUUUAUCUGAACAAUCCUUAAGCUUAUUGCUCUAAAUUUUCUGUUUCUGAAUGAAUGAUAGUGGCAUGACUCAACUGUUUGCAUUAAAUACUUUUUUUUCCUCUGAACAGUUGGCAUGCAAUAAUUAUAGACUGAAACCAAGAACCUGCCACUGCUCGACUCUUAAAUAAGCUUAUUGUUAGAAUAAUGUGCAUAAAUGUAUAUAGAAGUUAUCAUUAUUCCUCAUAUUCUUAUGUAAGAGUUUAUACUACAAGUAUAAACUGUUUUGACCUCUUUUUAUACAUCAUAUAAAAGUAUUUUUAUCAUAUAAGAGUGUUUUAUAACUUCUCUCUCCAAAAGCUUUACUACACAGCACAACAAUGUUUCUUUCAGUUUUCUGUGACCGUGUUUUUCCUAUCAGCAGGUGUGGCUGUGGGGGUGAUGUAUCCUCCACUGUUUUGGUAUCGUGGUAAGUUAGAGGAGGAGCCGCUCUUAUCAGAAGGAGCUCGUUAGAUGCAACAAGUCGCCUUGACCUUUUCCCCCACCCUUUAGAAACAUUGUGUAACCAGGGACAACCCUAAAUAAAAGAGGCCGGACAGAAAAAGCACUCUCAGAGUGGUUUCGAGAUGGUACCUGAAGCUAUCUCGGUCCAUUCUCCUC